GAGGAGCUCCGUAGAUGAAGACUGCA
rnacentral:piRNA from 1 species